CUUACCCAUGUAUCAGAUGACAUACUCCUUGAAUGGCUUAGAAUAAGGCAAUGGACACACAUUCAAAGUAACAUUUACAUCAAAUCCAUGUAGCAGAUGUACUCAAAAGGAAUCUCAAUACUUGCUUCAGAUGAAAGUUCAAUUCUCAAUGACUGGCUCCAAAAUAGUUGGCAUUGGCCAAGUCUUUUUUGCAUAGGGAAUGUUGCCUAAUUC
rnacentral:lncRNA from 1 species